GGGUGUGAUCAUACCAGCAUUAAUGCAUCUGAUCCCAUUAGAUCUCCAUAGUUAAGUGUGCUUGGUCUAGAGUAGUAAUGGGAUGGGUGACCUCUUGGGAAGUCCUAGUGUUGCACCCU
rnacentral:rRNA from 1 species